rnacentral:rRNA from 1 species
AUGAAAUGCGAGAGCAAGCCAGAGGGGCAGAUCGUGAAGAAAUGCACACAUUUUGAAUGGCUAGAUGACUAUGUUAAGCGGAUUCAAUUCAAUGGGGCCCCAACCCGGGAGCUCAAUCUGCCGUCAGCAACAAAGAAUUUGGUCCCUGAAAGUGCUGCUCUGACAGUUGGGGAUGCAGAUCUGAAGGGGGAAAUAAAGAAGAUGAACAAGAACUUGAAGCAGAUGAUUCAAUCGAACAAGCAGGCGAAUCUGAUAGCUUUAGGAUUUUAUCCCUUUUAUUUUUGUCUAGUUGCUCUAGGAUUUGCUUACUUGGUGGUCAUCACUCAUUAG